AUGUCAGUUAAGGUGAGGCAGGGCAUUUGCACUUCUUUUGUGAUUCUUCAGUUACUUCGGGCCAUCUGGGCAGACGUGCAAGUCACAGGGGAUGCGAUGUCUUGGCUUGGGCUCAGAGGCCUGACACAUUAUGUUAGGGUUAGAGAAUCGUUUUCACCACAGUGUCCCGCAGCAUCUAGCAAUGUCUCUGUCAUGAAGAAGGCCAUGGACUCUGCACUCAGGAUAUCUGAUUAUAAUCCCAGCACUGCCAUUUAUCAUCUGUACACUGGAGAGCAACCUGCUUAAACUCUCUGUGCAUUAGCUUUUUCAUCAAACAGAAAAAGUAACCAUUCUUAGAAAUUAAAAUAAUGCAUGGCUUAUAGAAAAUAUUCAAUAAAGUGUAAACAUAUGGGUGGAAUAAUUAAACAUUUAUGUAACUACAUAAUUUCUUAGUUGCAUUUGUGAAUCUCUGAAAUUCUAAGAUAUAGGUGCUUGGGGAAAGGUCCUCAUUAGCGACCACUAGUUACUCCAGCUGACAUGAUCAACUGGUUGAGGACGCCCUUCCCAGGCAUAAUAGUGCUGUGAGAAACUAAUCAGUGGUAAGAGCUGUGUCUCUUAAAUUCAAGCCUACUCCAGCCAUGGCAAGUGUCCCAAAAAUAACAGCUUUUAAUUGCUUUUCAUAAUCAGGGGUUCUUUAUGUGGACGGUACACACACACAGAGACAGAGACAGAGAGAAAGAGAACAGCAACAUAACCAGAAGGAUAGAUUUAUCAUCAGUCCUGUAUUGGGAUUCUUCAUUCUUCUAUUCAUUAAUUAAGUGUCCUUGGGAAAGUUAAACUCAUUAAGCCUCAACUUUCCCUUGUAAAAUGGGAAUAAUAUCUACUUUGAGGACUGGUAAUUAGAAAAAUAAAUGAAACAAUGUAUGUAAAUAACUAUAGUUUGUUUGUUUGUUUUUUGAGACAGUCGCGCUCUGUCGCCCAGGCUGGAGCACAAUGGCGCCCUAGUGUUUGACACAAAUGAAGUAUUUACUAAGUAGGAGCUACUGUUAUUAUUAUUAUCAUUGACAUCGUCAUUAUCCCAAAUUCUGAGAAAUUUUUCAUUAAGAGGGAGGCAUAACAUUGGUUACAAAAUAAUCUUAUUUUACUUAUGAAGAAAAAAAGUUUAGCAAUUUUAAUCCUUAAUGGAAUUUCUGAUGUUACAAUUGCCACCUAGCAUUCCCUAAAAUUUAAAAAGUCGGUAAGUUCACAUUCAUUUGUAUUGUGGAUAAAAGUUCAAAGCACUAAUUAGAUAAGAGGGUGCCCUGAUUCUUCCAAAUGACUGGGUCAGAGUGACUGGUUGUUUGGGCGGUGUUAUUAUUAAUAAUGGUAAUAAUUAUUAAGCCCUUUAAUGUCCCAUAAUUACAAGUGAAGCUUCCACUAAAAUGCCACAUCAAAAACUUUUUUGUUUUUUGCUUAUGAAUUCAGUUUCUUUGAUCACCCCAAGCACAGUCUAUAGGUAUCAGUAAACAUAAUGAUCCUUCUCUUCAUGCACCUUUUGCUUUGAACAAUUCCUUCCAGUACACUUGGUUGGAAGGUAAUAGGCCUGUAUAAUAUUUCUACGGAAGGGGAGGGAAGGGAUUUACAGGGAGAAGUUGAAGGAUGUCAGUACAGCCACCCCAAAGGAAAGUGGGAUAAAGGAGAUUUUAUUUGCAGCCUAAGAUCUUAUAAAAGAUUUCUUUGCCUGAGUGUGUUGAAGAAGGGCACCUUGGCCCUUUAAGGGAAUCUAACAGGCGAUGUGAGGACAAGUCAAAAAAAAAAAAAAAAAACGCACAAGUGAAUCUCAUGCAGAGUAAAUAUCUGAAUAAAAAAGAGGCCAAGCUAGGCUGUAGAGAACUAUAUAAAGGAUAUGUAAUGCGAUCAAGUUCUUCCUGGAUAUUUUCCAGGCUCAAUUCUGUGUUAUUGUGGUAAUAAUUUCAUUAGUCAUUUCUGUAGCUACGACUUUGAUACUCACUCAGUGUACAACUGUUUUUUUAAGCCAACCUACACUAGUUCCUUAUUUCAGUUUGCAAUUUUUUUUUAGUAAGUUUUCAACUUCUGGUUUGAAGAUUUAGUCUCUGAGUAAAAUUCUUAAAGACUGUUCAGAUGCUUUGACAGCCAAAAAUGCUUUACUUUGAUCUGUCAUCAAAGUAGCAAGAUAUAUUAGCAUCCUGUUUUCAAUGUGUAUUAACUUCAUUCAAUAAGUCUUUCACUUCAUGUGUUUUUCCUGGAUGUCUACGAGUGUCUAUGACUGUCACUAUGCAUGAAACCAAGCCUAAUAUGGCCUUUGCCCUACUAUCCCAAGGCUGAAGCUUUUCCUGUGAGUCUUGAUAUUUUCAGAAAUGCAUAAUGUCUUCUUGCCAACUACUUCUAACAUCGCUCACCUGACGCGAGUUGGAGAAACUUUCAACCAUUCUUCAUCACCCUGACCCAGAGACUGCCACAGUCAAUAAAGCACAAGGGAAGAAAUGACAGAGAGAGUUUUAGAAUCCGGGGCUUCAAAAUGAGGAUGAGAGAACUGAAGCACUGCCAUAGAUAAUUCAGUCACUGACUCCCUUUCCUGUUAAAUACCCAUGGGAGUUGGAAGUCCUACAGAGUCUUAAAAACUCUUGUUUUUAAAGUGGUCCAAUAAAGUCAUUCACACUUGAUGAACUGCAGGGAACAGUCAGCUGCUGCGGAAGAAGUGGAAUUUCUUAUGGCUUUGUACUUCUUAGAGAAGAAAGGAGUAGAAAAACUAAGUCUUUUGUGAUCAUCCUCGGGUC
ensembl:lncRNA